CUGUCUUAUACCACUAGAUUUAUGUUAGAAGGACCACCUUCUUUUUUUUGAAUGCAUUAUGCUAUCACAGUUUCAAAUGUUCAUAUACGAACACACAUCACAUCAUCACAUUACAAUGAAUGCAUAUAACAUUGCCGCGCGGCAGUUCAUUUUCCGUAAGCGAAUGAGCAAAUGAAUUGAUGAUCAUUGGCAUAUCGAGACUGGCCGCUCAAGCUAUCUGAACAAAUUUAACCAUUCUUCAUUGGAUUUUUACAAUUCUUCGUUGAUGAUCUUAUGAAAUCACUUUGCACGAAAAAUAGCAAACAAAAACUUGUUCGAUGUCUUGUUUGUUGUGUGUUGGUAAAGUUGCGUGCAAUCUAAAAGUUUUCGGUUUGGCUUAAUAUUCUUUCAGUUUGAUGAAACCUGUAUAAUACCUGUGGAUGUUGUUUUUUUUUACUCAUGAGUUAAACCAAUGAAAUGAUGCGGCUUUUUUUCUCUUUCUAUUGAUUCAUGUUGCUUCUUCUUCAAGGAUCAAAUUGCGCCAAAAAUGUGAAAACACAUCCACUCCAAAAGUUGUGGUAUCGAAUGUCUUUAACCGACCAAAUAAUAAUAAUAAUAAAAAGGUUUAUUAUUAUUAUAAACAAUAACACAAACAACUAUCGGUUCAAAUGAUUGCCGAAUAAGCCUGAAUGUGUGUGUGUGUUUGUGUUUGUAAAUGUGUGAAUUCAAUAAACUCGAAUUUUCUUGUCGGUUUGUUUGCCAAUAUUAAAUGAUUUCGAUGAUAAUUGGCCCAUUUUCAUUUAUUUGACAAACAUCAAUUCAUGUGAUUAUGAAAACCGAAAAAAAUUGACCAAUAAUAAAAAAAAAUCUACUUAAACCACUUGUUUGCAAACUCAAGAGCAUAAACAUAAUUUCAAGUCGUACAAAUCAACGUGAUACUAUCGUCACUAUUUGUCAUAAAGUUAUGAAGGAAAUGAAUUUUAAAAAAUCAAACAUUUCUUUCACAAUUAUCAGCAUUCAUUAUUUUGAUCCAUAAGAAUUUCCCAGAAACGAAAAUAUUUAAAAAAUAAACGGUAUGUUUUUAUUUUCGUUCCAAAUAUAAUAGUCUUGUUAUUACCACUACUAAAACAUAGUUUGAUUAUUAUAACUCUGAAUAUGGUUGGCAGGUGUCUUUUUUUAAAAUAAUUUUUUCAUUCUAUCAAUGAAAAUAAUCAUUAUCAUCAUCAUCAUCAUCAUCAUUAUUGAUAAUUACAGUACCACAUGAAUUAACCACUAUCUUUAUGAACACGCACACAUUCCAUUGAAUUUGUUCUCCUGCCUAUUUUGUUGUUUACCUGUUGUUCAUUUUUUGCGUUCUUGCUUUUUAUUUGUUUCUUUGUAUAUACCACGCCAAACAUUUCGAUAU